rnacentral:lncRNA from 1 species
AGAGAGAGAGAGAGAGAGAGAGAGAGAGAGAGAGAGAGAGAGAGAGAGAGAGAGAGAGAGAGAGAGAGAGAGAGAAUAAAUACACUGGGGAAAACAAGCGACACCUGGAGGGGGUGGAGACAGUCACAAGGACAGGUGAAACAGAUCAGGGUGUGACAGUCUGUGCAUAGCACACCAUCUGGAGACGAGGCAUAGAAAAAGCUAGUUCAGGGGCGAAGCAUGGAAACGCGGAUGCCCUAUCGAGAAGGAAGACAUACAGUGAGGGAAAAAGUAUUUGAUCCCCUGCUGAUUUUACGGAGUAUACAUCACCAGGCGAUGGCUCCAUCUGCUGGACGUGCCAGGUCUCGACGGGCUCUCCGGCCAGGACUAAUUGGGGCUGAUUGGGAGUUGGAUACAGCAAGACCUGGAGCCAAGAAGACGGUAUCCCGGAGAGGGUCUCAUGGGGAAGACCUUUUCUUUUGAACUAUUAUUUUAAUAAACACCUUUGAAACUGAGCUAAUCCUACUCUGUCCGUGUCUGAUCUUUGUCAAUGUUUUGACCCAACCCCCUGGUCUGCCACACCAAGUAGACUAAAAUAGGGGGGCACCGGUACCUAGUCAGUGUACAGGUUAGUUGAGGUCAUUUGUACAUGUAGGUGGGGGUGAUGUGAAUAUGC